AACGAACGCUGGCGGCAUGCCUAACACAUGCAAGUCGAACGAGACCUUCGGGUCUAGUGGCGCACGGGUGCGUAACGCGUGGGAACCUGCCCUUAGGUUCGGAAUAACUCCCCGAAAGGGGUGCUAAUACCGGAUAAUGUCUUCGGACCAAAGAUUUAUCGCCUUUGGAUGGGCCCGCGUUGGAUUAGCUAGUUGGUAGGGUAAAAGCCUACCAAGGCGACGAUCCAUAGCUGGUCUGAGAGGAUGCUCAGCCACACUGGGACUGAGACACGGCCCAGACUCCUACGGGAGGCAGCAGUGGGGAAUAUUGGACGAUGGGCGAAAGCCUGAUCCAGCAAUGCCGCGUGAGUGAUGAAGGCCUUAGGGUUGUAAAGCUCUUUUACCCGGGAUGAUAAUGACAGUACCGGGAGAAUAAGCUCCGGCUAACUCCGUG
rnacentral:rRNA from 1 species